CCUCUUCCUGCCCUGCAGCCUGAAGUCUGGGGCUCCACGUCCUCCUUUCCAUUGGGCCCCUCCCUGAUGGUCUCUGCAAGUGCUGCAGGCUGAGCAGAAGAGGGAACACCUUUGGGACUCCACUCUCAGGGCCAGCACUGCACUGCUGGAGAGGAAGAUUCCACCCCAGAAGCUCGAGGUGUCCGUGAGCCCUGUGCCAUGGGGCCACUGAAGGGCGUGCAGGGUGCAGCAACCAGCUUUCUGCACACUGAGGCCUGAGUACAGACUUCUCCAGGAGAGCUUUUGUUUGCACCAAUGCCCCCUGUUGAGAUUACAGUCACCAGUGAUUUGGGACAUGGGACACUGGGGAGAAAUGGUGAACUCACCAAUAGCUCUGAGCUGUUUAACCAAAUAGAGAGAAAUUUACACCACAUAAUUGCACUGGAACAAGUCAAAGACUUCUCCAAACUUCCCCUAAAACACUGGGAAAAGGGGAACUAAAUGAAUUAGAAGCAAGAAAGGAAAUAACACACCUCCUGGAGACCGAGACAACUUCUUCAAAGCAAAUAGCUUUUGAGUUUGACGAAUGUCACACUGGGCAGUCUUGUUUCGAUGAGGACUCCGAUUCUACCGCCAUGCUAACUGGAGUGGACUGUCACGCUGCCCUGUCUGCUCACAUCCUUGCCAGAGUUUUCCUGUUUUCCCUCACUAUCCAUUUUGAUGGCUUUCAGGCCAGUCUCAUAACAUUCAUCCUUCUGUAUUACUGUUGUGCCUGUAUUAUGGGUUCCCUCGUAACUUAAAGUUUCCAAUUUUUGAAAGAUGUGGAUCAAGUAGUUGAGGCAUAGUUUAGAUAAAAAUGUCCUCCCAAAGACUCAUGCGCUGGGAGUGGGACUUUAAGGAGGUGUCUGGUCAUGUUGCACUACGCUCAGUAGUGGGUAAGUCGACGAGUUCAUGGUUGAAUGAGCUAUUAGGAGAGGCUACUGGGGUGUCACUUGGAAAAUUAUAUUCUUUUCCCUGACUCUUCCUUUCUCUCCCUACUUUCUGGCUGCCUUGGGGUGAGAAGCGUUCCUCCACCACUUCCUUUCACCAUGCUGUUUGUUUCUUGAAGCCAGAAACCAUGGAUGGAACCCUCUGAAAACUGUGUGUUAAAAUUUAAAAAAGAAUCCUCCUACAUUGCUGCUAGGAUUGUGACCUAUACAACCACUACAGAAAUCAGUAUGACAGUUCCCCCAAACACUAAAAAUAGGAAUUUCAUCUUUCCCAGCUAUUCUCCUUCUGUGAAUCUGCCUAAAAGAGUUAAAAGCAAACAUUACAGUGAUCCAAACAUCACCAUCUUUACAGCAGCUCAGCUUGUAGUAGCUAAGUGUUGGAAGUAGCCUGCAUGUCCAUUAGCAGAUGAAUGGAUAAAAGAAUGUGUGGUUUUUACACACAGUGGUCUGCUACUAUAAAAGAUAACUCUGAGUAUCCUGUAGGAAAAAGAGAUACACAUUAAGACCAUAAUGCUAAGUGAAAUAAAUUAGACACAGACAGUGAAAUGCUACAUAAUUUCUCUUAUAUGAAGAAUGCAAUGUAUAAACAAUUUUAAAGGCAAAAGAAAAGACAGAUUAUAGGGACACAGAUAUUUAGACCUUUUGCCAAUGGAAAGGGGAUCUCAGGAUGGAAAUGGAGAGAAA